UACGAAGGGGGCUAGCGUUGUUCGGAAUUACUGGGCGUAAAGGGCGCGUAGGCGGUGUGUCAAGUCAGGCGUGAAAGCCCCGGGCUCAACCUGGGAACAGCGCUUGAGACUGGCACGCUCGAGUUCGGGAGAGGAUGGUGGAAUUCCCAGUGUAGAGGUGAAAUUCGUAGAUAUUGGGAAGAACACCGAUGGCGAAGGGCAGCCAUCUGGACCGACACUGACGCUGAGGCGCGAAAGCGUGGGGAGCAAACAGG
rnacentral:rRNA from 1 species